UGGGGAAUAUUGGACAAUGGGCGAAAGCCUGAUCCAGCCAUGCCGCGUGUGUGAAGAAGGCCUUUUGGUUGUAAAGCACUUUAAGCGAGGAGGAGGCUACUUGGAUUAAUACUCUAGGAUAGUGGACGUUACUCGCAGAAUAAGCAUCGGCUAACUCUGUGCCAGCAGCCGCGGUAAUACAGAGGGUGCGAGCGUUAAUCGGAUUUACUGGGCGUAAAGCGUGCGUAGGCGGCUUCUUAAGUCGGAUGUGAAAUCCCUGAGCUUAACUUAGGAAUUGCAUUCGAUACUGGGAAGCUAGAGUAUGGGAGAGGAUGGUAGAAUUCCAGGUGUAGCGGUGAAAUGCGUAGAGAUCUGGAGGAAUACCGAUGGCGAAGGCAGCCAUCUGGCCUAAUACUGACGCUGAGGUACGAAAGCAUGGGGAGCAAACAGG
rnacentral:rRNA from 1 species